rnacentral:lncRNA from 1 species
GCUAACUGACCAAACGGCGACGUCAUUAAUUAUAAAAGUUGGAGGCUGCAAGGACUUCGGGGAAGAUGUUUUGCUUACCUCAAGGUACUACCUCUUCACUCCUCUCCCAGUUUCGUUCCUUCGUCUUCUCUAAUUUCUCUGGUGGAAUCCUGAUUCUAUCAACCGGUGGAUUCCGGCUCGGCGACGUGAUCUGUUCGGCGUCUCUCUAUCGCAACUCUGUCAAGUUGCCCGUGUGUAAAUUUGCCAUUAUAUAUUUUAUGUUAAAUGAGUCUUGGGCCAUUAUGAUCGAUCCAUUACAAUUAAAUAGGUUUAAUUCUAUGUUAAAUGAGUCUUGGGCCUUGUAAUGAUGAUUAGGAGUUGCAAACAGAAAUCGGCAACACUAAUCAUCAUUAUAAAUAUCUUGUAAUGUUUGUAUUUUGUUGUGAGGGAGAAAGAAGAAUAGCGGAGGCACCCCGUGGACGUAGGCACAUUGUUGAACCACGUAAAUCUGUGUUUUCUUUUUCUCAGUUCGAUUUUAGGGUUCUUCUUAUCACACGUCCAUUCAUUUGGGCAAGUUGAAUUCCAGAGAGAAGUCCCAGUGAAACAGAGCCAGAGAAACUAAAGAGUUCGAGUUGAUUUUCGCGUGCAGCUUUCAACUUGACGCUUGUUUGAAGCGUCUUCGAGCAUUGAUCGGAUUCCACCCUCAUCAGUUAUGAUGGGAUAAAAAAGAUCAUUAUUUACUACGAAAAGAUGAUAAAUACCAUACAGAUCCAAUAUACAAAAAAUGGGACCAUGGUUCCGGAUGCGUGCGCAUAUACGCAGAUGCGACCUCCCUUAGCCGGAUCCGGUCCUGAAUUAAAAAAAAAAACAGGCCAAAAAAAUAAAAUUUAAGACCGAAAAAAUAUUUUAAGGCCAAAAAUUUAUUUUUAUGCCAAAAAUUUAUACAUUAGUCCAUGAAAAGAGCUAUAUUAUUUUUAAUAUAAGCUCCUUCCACU